rnacentral:lncRNA from 1 species
AAAAAUUAGUACCUUUUGUCACAAUCAAUAUCGUCAUCUAUUUGGAAAAAAAAAAAAUGGCAUCAAACUGUUCAAGUUGUUGGUUCAAGAGUUGAAAUCCUCUCCAUUUCUUUUUGAUUCAGAAGGACUGGAAGAUAUUUGGUCAUGCAGGGAUAAAAAGUUUUGAAAUGGGCAAAUGAUUUGUAGAAUGGAAAAGAGGUAAAAUAUUCAAUAUGCAAAAGAAGUUAUACGAUAUGAGCAUAGUUUAUUUUUAAAUGUGAAUGUGAGGAGGAUUAAACUAAAUACCCGAAAUAAAUGGGGAUUUUUUUUAUUAAAGCCUCGCCCCAAAAUUCUAAAUACUCGUGAGUUUAAUAAUACAUAGUUGCCUUGCAUUUGUUCACCUUUUCCUCCCUCCUUUACCUCUUUUAUAGGCGUGUGGGGAGAGAAGAAUUAGUGGUUGUUCUCUAUAAGUCACUAUGUCAGAAUCAAUCUGAUCAUAGAAAUAGGAACAUAUCUUAACUCUUCAUAGCUCAUCCUUGACAUCGCUAUUGCUACUUUGGUUCUCUUUGGCAUCAGAACUCUCCUUGGCAUCAGUGCUCUCUGGUUUAGGAGUUGAGGCUGGUUUCUGGAGCUUGAAUGGGAUUGAUGCAUGCUGCUUGAGGAACUUGUAAAAGGCUACCACAGUACGAUCUGUCUCAACAGUAAUCUGCAAACACAAUAAAGCAAUUAUAAAUGUCAAUCACAUAAUGAUAAACCAUAUGCAGAUCAGUCUCGCACACACACGGGAGCAUAUCUAUAUUUAACAAAGCUGAAUUGAUAAAAAUAUGUACUGUUGCUUAUAUUCACUUACAGGAUCAAAACUUUUGUUUCCUGCUGGGAAGAAGAGAAGAGUGGGGAAUCCAUCAGACUGCAAAGUGAACAUAAAUCAAGAUUGAUCAAUAAGUUAUUGGAUGUAGGAUAAAAAAUUCAAAAGUUAGCAUAAGUUGUACCAAAUAUCGUUACAGUAACAGCAUAUACCCA